rnacentral:rRNA from 1 species
GUGGGGAAUAUUGGGCAAUGGGGGAAACCCUGACCCAGCGACGCCGCGUGAGGGAAGAAGGCCUUAGGGUCGUAAACCUCUGGUGUGUGGGAAGAAGAGCGUGACGGUACCACACGAGGAAGUCCCGGCUAACUACGUGCCAGCAGCCGCGGUAAUACGUAGGGGACGAGCGUUGUCCGGAUUUACUGGGCGUAAAGGGCGCGUAGGCGGUCAUUUAAGUCAGCUGUGAAAUGGUUUGGCUUAACCGGAUCAUGCGGUUGAAACUGAAGGACUGGAGGGCGGGAGAGGCAAGUGGAAUUCCCAGUGUAGCGGUGAAAUGCGUAGAUAUUGGGAAGAACACCGGUGGCGAAGGCGACUUGCUGGCCAGUAACUGACGCUGAGGCGAGAAAGCCAGGGGAGCAAACGGGAUUAGAAACCCGGGUAGUCC